UUUGUUACUUCAAACCAAUCGGACUUCGGUCUGACAUCAAGUGAUAUUGAACAAUUUAGCUGAUCGCACGGUCUAAGAACCGGCGACAUAUCCUUCAAAUGUCUGCCUUAUCAACUUUCGAUGGUAGAUUAUGCGCCUACCAUGGUUGUAACGGGUAACGGAGAAUCAGGGUUUGAUUCCGGAGAGGGAGCCUGAGAAACGGCUACCACAUCCAAGGAAGGCAGCAGGCACGCAAAUUACCCACUCCCGGCACGGGGAGGUAGUGACGAAAAAUAACAAGCUGGUCUCAAUGAGUUCCAGCAUUGUAAUGGGAACAAUUUAAAUCUUUUAUCGAGGAUCUAUUGGAGGGCAAGUCUGGUGCCAGCAGCCGCGGUAAUUCCAGCUCCAAUAGCGUAUAUCAAAGUUGUUGCGGUUAAAAAGCUCGUAGUUGGAUCUAGGAUUAGGGCUACGGUCGUUCAGCUUGGACGUACUGUAUGCCCGACUCCUUUUCUCUAGUAUUCGAUUGUUGCUCUUAAAUGAGUGACUUUAGUUGCUGGAACUUUUACCUUGAAAAAAUUGAAGUGCUCAAAGCAGGUU
rnacentral:rRNA from 1 species